rnacentral:rRNA from 1 species
UACGUAGGGUGCGAGCGUUAAUCGGAAUUACUGGGCGUAAAGCGUGCGCAGGCGGUUUUGUAAGCCAGAUGUGAAAUCCCCGGGCUUAACCUGGGAAUGGCAUUUGGGACUGCAAAGCUGGAGUGCGGCAGAGGGGACUGGAAUUCCUGGUGUAGCAGUGAAAUGCGUAGAGAUCAGGAGGAAUACCGAUGGCGAAGGCAGGUCCCUGGGUUGACACUGACGCUCAUGCACGAAAGCGUGGGGAGCAAACAGG